CCUACGGGUGGCAGCAGUAGGGAAUCUUCCACAAUGGGCGAAAGCCUGAUGGAGCAACGCCGCGUGGGUGAAGAAGGUCUUCGGAUCGUAAAACCCUGUUGUUAGAGAAGAAAGUGCGUGAGAGUAACUGUUCACGUUUCGACGGUAUCUAACCAGAAAGCCACGGCUAACUACGUGCCAGCCGCCGCGGUAAUACGUAGGUGGCAAGCGUUAUCCGGUUUUAUUGGGCGUAAAGGGCACGCAGGCGGUCUUUUAAGUCUGCUGUGAAAGCCUUCGGCUUAACCGGAGUAGUGCAUUGGAAACUGGGAGACUUGAGUGCAGAAGAGGAGAGUGGAACUCCAUGUGUAGCGGUGAAAUGCGUAGAUAUAUGGAAGAACACCAGUGGCGAAAGCGGCUCUCUGGUCUGUAACUGACGCUGAGGUUCGAAAGCGUGGGUAGAAAACAGGAUUAGAUACCCCUGUUC
rnacentral:rRNA from 1 species